AUUGAACGCUGGCGGCAUGCUUUACACAUGCAAGUCGAACGGACCUAGGGGCUUGCUCCUAGGUUAGUGGCGAACGGGUGAGUAAUGCAUCGGAACGUACCGUGUAAUGGGGGAUAACGCAGCGAAAGUUGUGCUAAUACCGCAUACGAUCUACGGAUGAAAGCAGGGGAUCGCAAGACCUUGCGUUAUACGAGCGGCCGAUGUCGGAUUAGCUAGUUGGUAGGUAAAGGCCUACCAAGGCAACGAUCCGUAGCGGGUCUGAGAGGAUGAUCCGCCACACUGGGACUGAGACACGGCCCAGACUCCUACGGGAGGCAGCAGUGGGGAAUUUUGGACAAUGGGCGCAAGCCUGAUCCAGCCAUGCCGCGUGAGUGAAGAAGGCCU
rnacentral:rRNA from 1 species